UACGUAGGGUGCAAGCGUUGUCCGGAAUUAUUGGGCGUAAAGAGCUCGUAGGCGGUUUGUCGCGUCUGCUGUGAAAACUCGGGGCUUAACUUCGGGCCUGCAGUGGGUACGGGCAGACUAGAGUGCGGUAGGGGAGACUGGAAUUCCUGGUGUAGCGGUGAAAUGCGCAGAUAUCAGGAGGAACACCGGUGGCGAAGGCGGGUCUCUGGGCCGUAACUGACGCUGAGGAGCGAAAGCGUGGGGGAGCGAACAGG
rnacentral:rRNA from 1 species